rnacentral:ncRNA from 25 species
GAGAAUAAAAGCGUAUCAGGUGUAUUUAUACUUAAUAGGUAAACAGGUGCAAAACCUGUGCUGUCCCGCAGCUGUAAUGUGGAGCUGGCCUUAUAUAGUCACUGGGAAACCGGGAAGACAAGGCUGGCAGUGAAGCAGAGCCAGAAGAACUGCCUGAUAUAGGGCCUUUCAA